UACGGGGGGGCAAGCGUUGUUCGGAAUUACUGGGCGUAAAGGGUUCGUAGGUGGCCAACUAAGUCAUACGUGAAAUCCCUCAGCUUAACUGGGGAACUGCGUCUGAUACUGGUUGGCUUGAGUUUGGGAGAGGGAUGCGGAAUUCCAGGUGUAGCGGUGAAAUGCGUAGAUAUCUGGAGGAACACCGGUGGCGAAGGCGGCAUCCUGGACCAACACUGACGCUGAGGAGCGAAAGCCAGGGGAGCAAACGGG
rnacentral:rRNA from 1 species